rnacentral:misc_RNA from 1 species
GAUGAAGAACGCAGCGAAAUGCGAUAAGUAGUGUGAAUUGCAGAAUUCAGUGAAUCAUCGAAUCUUUGAACGCACAUUGCGCCCUUUGGUAUUCCUUAGGGCAUGCCUGUUCGAGCGUCAUUUAAACCUUCAAGCUAAGCUUGGUGUUGGGUGACUGUCCGCUUCACUGCGGACUCGCCUCAAAAUUAUUGGCGGCCGGUACAUUGGCUUCGAGCGCAGCAGAAACGCGAACUCGGGCCCGUCGUAUUGGCUCCCAGAAGCUAUCUUCACAAUUUUGACCUCGGAUCAGGUAGGGAUACCCGCUGAACUUAAGCAUAUCAAUAAGCGAAGGA